GUGGAACCUCGAAAUCCCGGGGCGAGAGGAUUCAACGUCCGUCGUCGCGGAGCGCCGUCGACGGUCGUGGGCGGACCCCUGUAGUGGGGGCGAGCCUGCGGAGUUCGUCGGUGUCUCGCUCGUCGUCUGGCGUGCAGUUGACUCCCGCCCUGAAAGGGGCCCCGCGACCGGUCGGCGCAAAGAGAGAAGAGGGGCGAGAGGAAGGCGGACACUGUGGCAGGUUCACGGGCCAGGGCUUCCUAGAGUCGCUCAUGUCCGUGGACCGAGCUCGUCCGAAAGCGGCCCCCGCCCGACCGCGGUCCAAAGUUCCCCUCGAGGGAACGCCACGCACUUCUCGUUCCAGCCGCGGGGAGACCCCCUGUACCGUCUCCGCAAGCCUGGGCGUCCGCACUGUUCGCAGUGGGGCGUCUGGGCGGAGGAGCGAAUAGGGGAACCAAGCGCCGAGGACGAGGAGGUCUGCGGGGAGUAGGUCGGUCAUCCACCCGACCCGUCUUGAAACACGGACCAAGGAGUCUAACAUGUGCGCGAGUCGCCGGGACUUGAACAGGCCCGGAGGCGAAGUGAAAGCGAUGAUUUGAAAGCCGUGAUCCCCGGGGUGGAACCCGGGGCGCAGCGGCGGCCCGUCCCGCUCGCCGAGGCGUGCGGGCGGAGUCUGAGCGCACACGUUGGUGCCCGAAAGAUGGUGAACUAUGCACGGCCAGGACGAAGACAGAGGAAACUCUGUUGGAGGUCCGAAGCGGUUCUGACGUGCAAAUCGAUCGUCAGAGCCUUGUAUAGG
rnacentral:rRNA from 1 species